CCUACGGGAGGCAGCAGUGAGGAAUAUUGGUCAAUGGGCGAGAGCCUGAACCAGCCAAGUCGCGUGAAGGAUGACGGCCCUACGGGUUGUAAACUUCUUUUGUCAGGGAGCAAUUGGGUCCACGCGUGGGCUUAGCGAGAGUACCUGAAGAAAAAGCAUCGGCUAACUCCGUGCCAGCAGCCGCGGUAAUACGGAGGAUGCGAGCGUUAUCCGGAUUUAUUGGGUUUAAAGGGUGCGUAGGCGGAAUAUCAAGUCAGCGGUAAAAAUUCGGGGCUCAACCCCGUCGUGCCGUUGAAACUGAUGUUCUGGAGUGGGCGAGAAGUAGGCGGAAUGCGUGGUGUAGCGGUGAAAUGCAUAGAUAUCACGCAGAACUCCGAUUGCGAAGGCAGCAUACCGGCGCCCAACUGACGCUGAAGCACGAAAGCGUGGGUAUCGAACAGGAUUAGAUACCCGGGUAGUC
rnacentral:rRNA from 1 species